AUGACGACCGGCGAACGGGUGAGUAACGCGUACACAACCUACCUUCAAGUGGGGGAUAGCCUCGGGAAACUGAGAUUAAUACCCCAUGUGAUUAACUUAUAGUAUGAUUGGUUAAUUAAAGUUCCGGCGCUUGAAGAUGGGUGUGCGUCCCAUUAGGUAGUUGGUGAGGUAACGGCUCACCAAGCCGACGAUGGGUAGGGGGCGUGAGAGCGUGGCCCCCCACACGGGUACUGAGACACGGACCCG
rnacentral:rRNA from 1 species